rnacentral:rRNA from 1 species
GAUGAACGCUGGCGGCGUGCCUAAUACAUGCAAGUCGAGCGAACAGACGAGGAGCUUGCUCCUCUGACGUUAGCGGCGGACGGGUGAGUAACACGUGGAUAACCUACCUAUAAGACUGGGAUAACUUCGGGAAACCGGAGCUAAUACCGGAUAAUAUAUUGAACCGCAUGGUUCAAUAGUGAAAGACGGUUUUGCUGUCACUUAUAGAUGGAUCCGCGCCGCAUUAGCUAGUUGGUAAGGUAACGGCUUACCAAGGCAACGAUGCGUAGCCGACCUGAGAGGGUGAUCGGCCACACUGGAACUGAGACACGGUCCAGACUCCUACGGGAGGCAGCAGUAGGGAAUCUUCCGCAAUGGGGGAAAGCUUGACGGAGCAACGCCGCGGGAGUGAUGAAGGUCUUCGGAUCGUAAAACUCUGUUAUUAGGGAAGAACAAAUGUGUAAGUAACUGUGCACGUCUUGACGGUACCGAAUCAGAAAGCCACGGCUAACUACGUG